rnacentral:lncRNA from 1 species
UUCAUUUCUCCAUGUCGCUCUCUCUCCCUCACUUUAUAUACACCAUUUUUCUUUGGUUUAGUAAUUCACCUCUAUAAAGACCUACCCCGUUUUAAGUGUUUUAACCCUUGAUCACUGAUACCCUGUCCGACUGACGUAGGACCCCGUAACGUAUGUCAAGGCUCUGCCUAAAUUCAUUGGGGUUCUGUCUCGUGACGUAGGGAUAAAGUAGAAUUGGGUUACUAUACUUAAUGUGAGCGCACUAUAUAUUUUAUUAAAUAAUCCAGGAGUUGUACCCAAAAUAUAGCAACCCUCCCGAAUAUUUUUCUGACACCUUACACUUCCUAAAAUACACCCCGUAUGUGAAAACCAAGCCCGAAAUACAAUAUAUAAAUUAAAAACAAGAAAUAGUAAGUUGAGGCGGGCCGCGUAGACCCACCCCAAACUUAACGCGGGCCGUGUGAGGGUGUAACUGGACUCCGCUGAAUUCUUAAGUCCAGGCGGGCCGCGUAAGAUCACACCGUUAGUUUACGCGGGCCGCGAGUGUCCCAAUUGGUGGCGCAGCCCGGUGAUGACACGUGUCAUCAUCGUGGCGAGGCUAGAUCAUGACCAGGACAAGCUAUACGUUGACCUGGAGUCAACGCGGGCCGCAUAAGCCUUGCCUGUUCUUUACGCGGGCCGCGUGGGAACCAGUCUCAGCAACUAUAUAAAGAACGCAUCGGAUUUCAAUUCAGUUCGCUCACAUCUUUCUUUCUAAACGAAUUUCUGAAGUAGUAGAGAGUAUAGUUGGGUAUUAUACCCCUAAUUAGCGAAGCUCUGCCUCGUUACUAUAACCAGGGAAUCACAGAGGAAAGCCUUAUAAUAGCAAUGUAACUUAGUGUAAAGCCAAUAGAAGCCAGCUGGAGAACACUGAAGGCUUGGAAAAGUGGCAAUAAAGUUACCUAAAAUAGAAUAGAAGUUUUUAUUAAAUAAAAUAGGAUUUAUUCCUAUGAAAAUGUAUGUACUGCAAAACUUGGGUUUUAUCCCAUGUGUUUAAUAUUAUGAAAAUAUGGUGGUUUUACUCUGAUAAAAUAUUUCCUAACUACGAUCCUGAUGAAAAAUUCCGCUGCCAAAUUAGACAAUAACAAGAUACCACCGAAACUGGCUCACGGCCGCCCGCUCCUGGGAUAGGGGUCGGGGGUUGUGACAGAAGGUGGUAUCAGAGCUAUGCCACUGGUUCAAGCCAAAGAAGUAGUAUGAGUA